rnacentral:lncRNA from 1 species
AUAUUAGCUGCCUAUGUGAAAUGUUUCUUUUUUCCUGCACAGCAGUGAUGCUCAUCUUAGAGAAUUUUCAGUUCAUGGAUACACAAACUAAGCAAAUGGAGCACUGUUGGUGCUCCAGGAAAAGCAUGAGAGGACAGAUGCACCUGCCAGUUCCUUUAACAAUCGCAUGGGAAGUCCUACACCUCUGAUGUGGUGGGUUUGCUGUGGAAAUAAGCCAGGGCUGUACCAUGGUGGGGAUCAGGAGGCUGGGAAGGACAGGGGAGAUGCUGGGGGUGCUGAGCUCCCUCAGUCACGGAGCAGGUACCUGACUGUGACCUGGCAUCCUGAGCCUGGCAGUGCACACGUGCCUCAGGAGCAGUUUGCAUUAGGUUUUCUUCUAGCUCCAGAUGGUAACAAAAAUUUGGGGGGAGAUGGAAUAGCUUGAUUGUUUCAGAAUGAGUGUUCAGAGACUGUGAAUGCACUGGAGUCUUUGUUGGAAGUCUGUGUAAAAGGCACUCGUGGAGCUGGUGUGAUGACUGGUUGCUGUGAUGGUGGUUGCCAAGAGUGCAGUUCAAUUACUAUAACUUUGUGUGAAGUGUUUUAUUUUUUUUCCCUCUGUUUGCUGUUGUUUUGGCAUUUUACUAAAACAAAAAAGAAAACUUUGAGAAACCUUUCUGUGUGUAGUUUAUUAUUUUAUUUGCUACAAGUAGUUAGGAUGCUGAAAAGGAGCAGAGGAAAAUUUUAAUUUUAUAACAGUAAGCUGGACUUGAAGCUGGCCAUGUUUCUGUUUUGUUUAUGAUUAGAGAUUAUUUUUAAAGCUGCUGUUGCAGGCAAUUGAGCUGGAUUUUUUUAGAGAUUGAUUUUGACAAUUUUUUUCACUUUAAUAUGCUGUUAUUUAGUUAAGACUUAAACAGUGUUAAGUGUAUUGCUCAGUUACCGAAGCUAUACAGCUCUAGUUGUGAUUUAAAUAUCACAGCCGUGAAGCAGAAACUACAAUUUAGUGUGUAAAUAUUAACACAAAUACAAAGCUUAUGUUUUGCUUUUGCCUCACACUCGUGCAGAUCUGUGUUUAAUAGGUCUGUGUUUGGUUUUGUAUUUGUGGAUCUGUUUUUAUCUCCAGCUUGUAAAAGAAAAGGGGGAAAAAGCAAACAUUGAAGGAGCAAUGGGAAAGCUUUCUGUUCCGCUUGACAGAAUUAACGCGGGGAGUGGCGGGCGAUUUUUAUUUCUGUAUUUUAUACAUACCUACAUUUUUGUGGACGAUGUACUGAGCCUGCAGCACUGAGGUUCUGAGGGUGUUUAGGAUGUUUCAG